CCUACGGGAGGCUGCAGUGAGGCAUAUUGGUCAAUGGUCGCGAGCCUGAACCAGCCAAGUCGCGUUCGGGAAGACGGUCCUAUGGAUUGUAAACCUCUUUUGUCGGGGAGCAAAAGACGCCACGCGUGGCGUUCCGAGAGUACCCGAAGAAAAAGCAUCGGCUAACUCCGUGCCAGCAGCCGCGGUAAUACGGGGGAUGCUAGCGUUAUCCGGAUUUAUUGGGUUUAAAGGGUGCGCAGGCGGAAGAUAAAGUCAGGGGUAAAAUUUCGAGGCUUAACCCCGUCGAGCCGUUGAAACUGGUUUUCUUGAGUGAGCGAGAGGUAUGCGGAAUGCGUGGUGUAGCGGUGAAAUGCAUAGAUAUCACGCAGAACUCCGAUUGCGAAGGCAGCAUACCGGCGCUCAACUGACGCUCAUGCACGAAAGUGUGGGUAUCGAACAGGAUUAGAUACCCGGGUAGUC
rnacentral:rRNA from 1 species